rnacentral:rRNA from 1 species
GGCAUGCGGGGAGAGCAUGCAGUCGAUGGGUUUAGACCCAUGGCAGACGAGGUAGUAACACGUAGGUACGUACCGAAGAGUCAGGGAUAACCUGCCGAAAGGCAGGAUAAUACUUGAUGGUCCCGAAAGGGUAAAGAUUUAUCGCUCUUUGAACGGCCUGCGCUCUAUCAGCUUGAUGGUGAGGUAACGGCUCACCAUGGCUACGACGGAUAGGGGAGCUGAGAGGCUGACCCCCACCGAUGGAACUGCGACACGGUCCUUACUCCUACGGGAGGCUGCAGUCGAGAAUCUUCCGCAAUGGACGAAAGUCUGACGGAGCGACGCCGCGUGGUGGAUGAAGUCCUUAGGGACGUAAACACCUUUUAUGAGGGAAGAAGUUUAUUGACGGUACCUCAUGAAUAAGGGGCUCCCAAUUCUGUGCCAGCAGGAGCGGUAAUACAGAAGCCUCAAGCGUUACCCGGAAUCACUGGGCGUAAAGGGUGUGUAGGUGGUGUGAUUAGUCGGGCGUUAAAUCCAGAGGCUCAACCUCUGGUUCGCGUUCGAAACGGUCACACUCGAGGAAGUGAGAGGUGUAUGGAACUCACGGUGUAGGGGUGAAAUCCGUUGAUAUCGUGGGGAACACCAAAAGCGAAGGCAGUACACUGGCACUUUCCUGACACUGAAACACGAAAGCGUGGGUAGCGAAUGGGAUUAGAUACCCCAGUAGUCCACGCCCUAAACGUUGCCCGCUAGCUAUAAGGAGUAUCGACCCUCUUUGUGGCGUAGCUAACGCGUUAAGCGGGCCGCCUGGGUAGUACGAUCGCAAGAUUAAAACUCAAAGGAAUAGACGGGGGCUCGCACAAGCGGUGGAUCAUGAGGCUUAAUUCGUCGCUAAGCGAAAAACCUUACCAAGGCUAGAAACUAUGCUGCAUACCCUAUGAAAGUAGGGUAGCCUUCGAGGGUGCAUGGCAGUGAUGCAUGGCCGUCGUCAGUUCGUGGCUUGAGCUGUUCCCUUAAGUGGGGAAACGAACGCAACCCUCGUUGCCUGUUACAAGUGUCAGGCGAGACUGCUCCCUCA